rnacentral:lncRNA from 1 species
AUGAGAUGGAUGAUGGCUGGAGAGAUGGCUCAUUGGUUAACAUCACUUCUUAUUCUUCCAGAGGUCCUGGGUUCAGUUCCCAGCAUCCACAUAGUGAGUGGCAUACAGUCAUCCAUAACUCCAGUUUCAAAGACCUCUCUUCUGACCUCUGUGUGCACGAGGCACACAUGUGAUGCAUGGACAUACAUGAGAGUAAAUGCCACUCAUGUGCUAACACUUAAGAUGUUAGCUUGUCUCAUAAACUGCCCCCCACCCCCCAAAGGUUCUAAGACUGCUGCUUCAACUCCAGGUGUUUCCUAUAAGCAACAAUGUCGAGAUCCCGGAGACUGAAGACUGGGAGAUGCAUUUCAUUUUAGAGUCUCUCUCAGAGCCACUGCUUUCCUCACAUCAAACAACCUCCCUUUCCUGCUUGGUGAUGUCUCUACACGUCCACACCAAAACCAAUUGUUGGCCAAAGGAACAAAAUCAUUACUGUAUUUUGACCAAUUGUAGUUCAUGGAUGAGGCUAGAGAAGGGCCACCUGUCCCCAAAGCCUGACAGCCUGAUGCAGUUCAGUGUUCUAUGAUGGAAAAGGAGACAUGAUGCCAUUUAAAAGCACAAGAUGCCUUUUUUAAAAAAAAUAAAGAUAGGGCUCUGCUGUGUGUGUAUCA